CAUAUUUUUAUGUUAUAACCAGUUGCAAUUCUCAUUUGGGGUAUCAAGAUUGGUUGUGUUGUUUAAUUUCAUUGAAAGAGUUAUCAUGGCAGCUUAUGGAGCUCUGGUUUCUCUUAUGACAGCCUUCACAAAUAUCCUUCCCCUCCCAUUUCCAUCCCCAAACCACAACUUCAUUCUCUCACCCGAAAUGUUACCUUCUUGCAAGAGUUUCUUGAUGGCUAUAUUUCCCCUUUUGCCGAUAGCCAUGAAGCUCAUCCAUUGGAGCGUCGCAUUGCUAAUGCAGUUUAUGCAGCUGAGGAUAUUAUUGAAGCCCAAAUUGUGGUUCAAAUUGAUAAACGAUCCACUUCUGUUGAAGAUCAUAGCUUUUACAGUAAUCUACAAAAAGUGAUAAAACAAAUGAAUCUGAUCAUGAAAGAGGUGCAAGAGAUUGGAGUUGAAGCUCAGCUGCAGCAAAAGCCUGUUGCUCCCUUGACGACGUCGUAUUCCACCGAAAACGUGAUGGUGGGCUUUGAACAAGUGUGUCUUGAAGUUUUGGAUCGGGAUCAACUCAACCGCCAAAUCAUCCCCAUCACCGGGAUGGGCGGAAUUGGGAGGAGAGUAGAGCCUCAAAAACUGAAGGGCAAUUCCAGAUCCUCAAGUUUCUAGAACUGUGGUGGUGUAAUUGUUUAGAAGAUUGGAUUGUCUCAUACAACAAUAAUAGUGGAGGAGAAGCAUCUUACCGACUGAGCUACGCUUCAUUGUAAAAUAACUAAGGUUCGUGCACCAAGAGAUUCGUUGUUUUCUUUUAAUCUCCUCCGAAUAUAAGAUUGGUUGUCGUUUUUCACCUAAAGAUUUGAUCACGGCAGCUUAUGGAGCCCUGGUUUAAUUUCUCUUGUGCAUAUCAUAGAUACCCUCCAAAAACAUCCUUGCCCACCAAUUUCUAUCCACAGUAAUGGAUGAUAUGUAACGUAUAUAGUUAUGAAACAAGAUCAUAUUUUUCUUUCCUGAUUACCGAAUAUUUGUAACAAGUAGCCUUACCAAAUCCCCUGAUUUUCGAACCACUCCCAUCCUAAUCUUCAAAUUGAAUCUGUUCUGUAUUAGCAAGAUGCAAAGUCUAAAAUGUAUUUUUGUACAUCCUUUAAAAGGCAAAGGGAGAACUCCCUUGUCUCCUCUAUUUCAAGGCGAGAAACAGUAUUAGGUUUAGAGGCAGAUCAAAACAAUUUGUUUCUCCAACAAUACCUUGGUUGUAUGAAACGUGCAAAAAAAAUUCCCAUAUAGUUUCAUAAUGUACCAAUAUAGUAGUUUAUAGGGAUGUCAAUCGGGUCGGCCCAGCAGGUUUCGGGCCAACCCUACUCGGGGGCGGGUGGUCAUUCGGGGUGCUAAUUUGGCAGGCUAUUCGGGCAGCCCACGGAUUGCGAGUUGUACCGACAUUACUAAUAGUUUACCUAGUUUGAAGUGGAACCAUAUUCUUCCACUUUAAAGUUUAUCUCACUUACUUUAUUCUCUCUUCAGUCUUCACUCAUGCACUUUUCUGUCUUAUGGAGUACUUUUUUACUCUUUGUAAUUAACUCUUUUAAAUAUCAAUUUUUUAAAUUACGUGUCCAAAAGAAGUGUCUCACUUGACGAAGGUUGGAGGGAGUAGGAGAUAUUUUUAUAUAAACAAUAUUUGGAUAAUCUAAGUAUCUAAAAUACUUGAUAUAAGAAAUCCUUCACACGAACUGGAGUGACGAAAACAAAACAGUUGUGGAAACCGGCGCCUAUGAGGGUCGGCGGCGAUAAGUUCUGAGCGGCUAUGUGCAGGGAUCUUCUAUUGGGCAGCAGCGAUAGAAUAGUUUUGCUUAGAUAACAAGAAUUAGGGCAAAUAAUAAUUUGAUUGCUUAAGGAAAAAUAAUGAGUUUUGCCCUAUUUAUAUAAGGAAGACCCUAUGGUUGGUUAGACUUAACUUAGACAUCAAGGAAAGAACCAACAAAAAAAAUCAGACGGAGCUUAUAAAUCACUCGACACAAUGAUAAAUUAAAUAACAAUAAAAGUCUCUAAAAAAUAAUUAAAAAGGAAAAUAAACUAACUAAUAACUCAGAUAUUAUGCACCUCAUUUGGCGACGUAAUUCUGGAAUCUCUCUGGCCGCUUGAGCUUCUCGCGGGGCCGCAAACUUCUUGCUGCUGUCUCUCCUUCGGGUUGGCCUUCCUCCUGCGUCAGCUCAGCAUCCGCUUGCGCUUCUUCCUCGAUGUCGUUCGCCCUUGAUGUCUCCUUGGUUGUUCUCGCAUCAUUGGGCUCCAUGGGUUGUUGAAGGACAACCGUAUCAUAUACCCCUACUACAUUCGUAAGAGCAUCCACAAUAGCGCCUAGUGCACCGCCUAGCCGAGCGCCGGCGCUAGGCGGUGCGCUAGGCGAACUAUUGCAACCGC